rnacentral:rRNA from 1 species
ACGAACGCUGGCGGCAUGGAUUAGGCAUGCAAGUCGAACGCUUGUAGCAAUACAGGAGUGGCGAAAGGGUGAGGAACACGUGAGUAACCUACCCUCAAGUUGGGAAUAACACCGGGAAACUGGUGCUAAUACCGAAUGUGGCUGUUGAACCGCAUGGUUUAACAGCUAAAGAUUUAUCGCUUGAGGAGGGGCUCGCGUCCCAUUAGCUAGUUGGUGAGGUAACGGCUCACCAAGGCAACGAUGGGUAGCUGGUCUGAGAGGAUGGCCAGCCACACUGGGACUGAGACACUGCCCAGACUCCUACGGGAGGCUGCAGUCGAGAAUCUUGGGCAAUGCGCGAAAGCGUGACCCAGCAAUGCCGCGUGCAGGAUGAAGGCCUUCGGGUUGUAAACUCCUUUUAUAUGUCAAGAAAAUGACGGUAGCAUAUGAAUAAGCACCGGCUAACUCCGU